rnacentral:lncRNA from 13 species
GUGGGUCCUUGUGUUUUUAGAACUGGAGGCCACCAUGGACGGCUGGCUACAUGUCAGGUGUGGAGGUGGGUCCUUGUAUUUCCCAGCAUUAUUUGUUUUUUGUGUGUGUUACAACUCUGUAAACCGUGUGUUUGACUAAUAAAAUGACAUAUUUACUUGUCUUUUUGUUUGUUGAACUUUAAAAGAAGAGUGUAUGACAAUGAAUCAAAAUUAAUUUAAGGGAGAAAAAGUGCUUGCAUUAAAUUAUUUAUUUCACAGUGAAUGUCAUGUGUGAAACAACCCAUCCUACUGUACAAGUUAAGAUGAUUUUAAAAUAACUAAAUGUACAAGAGAUUAACAAUGAAUGUCGUACAUUUUUUUUUACAAAGAACAUACGUACAAAAACAACUUUACAAUGUACACACGAGUCAGAGUUUACUGGCCUUGGCUAGCACCAUGCUGGGUCCUCAUGAGUGCCAGUCACUCCUCCACAGUUUGGCCACCAGAGGUAGCGGCACAGAAUCUCACAGAACCAUACAUACUGUGUCCAAACUCAGAAGUUUUAGGCUUGCCACAUUUAGAGCACUUAUAGCCUUCGUAUGGCUUGUGCGCUCUGACUUUAAUGCCAGACUCCAGCUUCUUCCUCCUCCUCCAUUCGGUGGUCCUGGAAACCUUGGGUCCACCAGCAGGAGGGGGAAGAGGAGUGGAGGUCGAAGGCAGGUCUUGGAAGACUGGCGUUAUAGGGAGGGAGGUGGAAGACAGACUGGGUGGCAGUGGCUGACUAGUGGCCAGGAGGACCACAUGCUGGUAUCCACUAACCCCAUCAGGUCCUAUGUACUCCUGGAAAUAGAAGAGUCAUGGGGAAGGGUUGGAUUAAUAGUCACAUUAAUAGUUAUGAAUGGAAAGAAACUUGAGUGAGCUGUUUAGGACGUGGAUAGGCACUUACAUCAUCCCCUGGGUCCUGACUGGCAGCUGGUGGUGCAGUGUCAUCAGGGGGUGUGACGACAGGUACCUGGGAUGGGUUGGGUUGAGUGGGCGGUGGAGUGGCCUUCCUGAGUGGAGGGACUGGUGAGAGACGGUCAUCGAGGUCGGGCAAGGACAUGGUGGGGUCAUCCUCCUCUCCCUCAAAUAGAGUAGGUGUCCCGUCUGGGACAUCUGGGUCCUUACCGAGGUUGGACUCUGGUCACCAUGGGUCUGGGAGAAGAGAUACUCGACCCCAAUGAGUUCCCCUUAAACAGAGCGACAACAAAAGAGUUGUACAUAAACAGAACUGCACAUGUUUUAGUGUGUGUGUAUAUAAUUGUAUAAUUUAGAAAUACAUACCAGUGUACUUUGCAGGCCUUGUGUGAUCCUUCACAAGACUGGGCCCAGGAGCUUCUGGCUCAGCUCAUUGAUGGUGUGCUGGGCUACAGCAUCAUAGCAGUGCAGGGUCUGCUUCUGCCCCACCCCUCGGCUGCAGCUUCGGCACGGUCCUCAUUCCACUGAACCAACCCUUCAAGGAGGUAGGCCUGAAAGUGCUCGGCACCCGCACUUGUUCCUAUAAAUGAGGACAAC